rnacentral:other from 1 species
AGUGUGAUGUGAACUCACCCUUUUACAAUAAAAUUUCUACUAGUAAAAGUAAAAGGAUGCUUAACCGUUAAAUGCUAUCACACUAACCGCGUGCUCUAUUUAGAGUUAUAUCCUAGGAUGCGCGAAGAGCAAACCUCUUAAUAUCCAAGGAACUAGUAGUCGAGUAAAUGCACUAAGUUAUGCUUUACUUUAAAUAAAUAACUUGCGAAUCAACAA